UUCCCUAUUCCCUAUUCCCGGCUAGCCGGGAAUAGCUAAUUCCCUAUUCCCGGCAGCUACGCAGCCGGGAAUAGGGAAUC
rnacentral:tRNA from 4 species